rnacentral:rRNA from 1 species
GAUGAACGCUGGCGGCGUGCCUAACACAUGCAAGUCGAACGGAGUCCAGCGUUUAAGCCCUUCGGGUCGAAGAGGGGAAGGGUGAGUGGCGCACGGGUGAGCAACCCGUGAGCGACCUGGCUCAUUGAGGGGGAUAACAGAAAAAAAUAUCUGCUAAUACCGCAUAUGCACACACUACCACAUGGCCGACUGUGAAAAGAGAAGCGCGAUGGGAGUGACCCGCGUCUGAUUGGACAGUUGGCAGUGUAAGAGCCGACCAAAGCGACGCUCAGUAGCCGAUAUUGGAGCAUGGUCCGCCACAUUGGGAGUGGGAGCCGUCCCGAACUCCUACGGAAGGACGGAGUGGGGGAUAUUGCACGACGGGGGGAACACGGAUGUAUCCACGCCGUGUAAGUGAGGAAGUAUUGCGGUAUGUAAAGCUCUAUGAGCAGGGAACAUAGUGACGGUACCUUACUAAGAAGCCACGGCUAACUACGUG